UGUUAAAAACUUCAUUAAUUUCUAUUGUUAAAAAUUGGUGUGGUUGAUGGAAUAACCAAACAGUUACAUGUGGAGUGUGAUGUGUACCUCAUGCUGACAUACAAUAACUCGUUUUUAAUAGUAGAAAUUGAUGAAAGUUUUAAUA
rfam:Gossypium arboreum cultivar AKA8401 contig_295_5, whole genome shotgun sequence.